UACAGAGGGUGCAAGCGUUGCUCGGAUUUACUGGGCGUAAAGCGUACGCAGACGGUGAGAAAGGUCGGAUGUGAAAGCCCCGGGCUCAACCCGGGAACUGCAUCCGAAACCAUCUCGCUAGAGUAUGGGAGAGGGAAGCAGAAUUCCUGGUGUAGAGGUGAAAUUCGUAGAUAUCAGGAGGAACACCAAUGGCGAAGGCAGAUCUCUGGGCCGUAACUGACGCUGAGGAGCGAAAGCAUGGGGAGCGAACAGG
rnacentral:rRNA from 1 species